rnacentral:lncRNA from 1 species
GUUGUGUUAGCUAGUUGUGAAGGUGUGAGUCUGAAGGAUUGAUACUGGAAACUCAUGUUUGCCGACAUGAGGGUUGGUCUUAGUGAUUGUGUGAUUGUAGGGUACGAGGGAAUCCCCAAAGUUUAUAUAUGUACAUAUGUAUCCUGGAGGGCGAAUGGUUCAUCAGAAUCCCCGACCUUUUAUGAUAUCUCUGGUUCGCGCGAUUAAUAAUCAU